CUCAAUUUGUCAUUGCCUUUGGCAUUUAUCGGGACGUUAUCUGCACGGUGUACCCACAUAGGAGGGAAGAGCUUGAUUCAUACUUACACAAUGUGGUUGACUUAGGUAUCAGGUACGGAGGGUCCUCAUUUUAUGAUUUUUAUAAAUCAGUUUCGGCCAACACAGCUUCCCAGCACAGUUCAACAUAAGAAUCGACUGGUGCCAGAUGGACACACAUCUGUUUUUCCGUCAUUUCGCUGGUUCGAGGCCCCGUCCUGUACUUCUUGUAGUUCCUCUUCUCAAUUCCCCGACUCGUGCACUUGUGAGACAGACACUUUCACUUUUCACCACUCCCUCAUCCCACACACUAGACAGGGAGGCGUGCAGAGAGACAAGCUGGGCAGACCCAUUUCAUUUCUGG